rnacentral:rRNA from 1 species
UACGAAGGGGGCUAGCGUUGCUCGGAAUUACUGGGCGUAAAGCGCACGUAGGCGGCUUCUUAAGUCGGUGGUGAAAUCCUGGAGCUCAACUCCAGAACUGCCUUCGAUACUGGGAAGCUCGAGUCCGGGAGAGGUGAGUGGAACUGCGAGUGUAGAGGUGAAAUUCGUAGAUAUUCGCAAGAACACCAGUGGCGAAGGCGGCUCACUGGCUCGGUACUGACGCUGAGGUGCGAAAGCGUGGGGAGCAAACAGG